GAUGAACGCUAGCGGCAGGCUUAACACAUGCAAGUCGAGGGGCAUCGAGAGAGUAGCAAUACUUUUGUCGGCGACCGGCGGACGGGUGCGUAACGCGUAUGCAACCUACCUUAUACAGGGGGGAUAACCUUUCGAAAGGGAGACUAAUACCGCAUAACAUUACUUUGAGGCAUCUUGAGGUAAUUAAAUCUUCGGAGGUAUAAGAUGGGCAUGCGUAGCAUUAGCUAGAUGGUGCGGUAACGGCGUACCAUGGCGACGAUGCUUAGGGGUUCUGAGAGGAAGGUCCCCCACACUGGUACUGAGAUACGGACCAGACUCCUA
rnacentral:rRNA from 1 species